rnacentral:tRNA from 1 species
GGCAAAAUGACUGAGCUUUAGGUGAUAGAUUGUAAAUCUAUUUAUGAGAAUAUUCUCUUUUGCU